rnacentral:rRNA from 1 species
AACUUUCAACAACGGAUCUCUUGGCUCUGGCAUCGAUGAAAAACGCAGCGAAAUGCGAUACGUAAUGUGAAUUGCAGAAUUCAGUGAAUCAUCGAAUCUUUGAACGCACAUUGCGCCCGCCAGCAUUCUGGCGGGCAUGCCUGUCCGAG